rnacentral:lncRNA from 1 species
CAGGCAGCUGAGAGUUGUGAACUGUUAAUGACAGGAGCCUGGAAUCUGGGCAUAUGGCGGGCAGAGGGUACCUACACAACGAACCCCAAUAAAUCCUUGGAAGACAAUACUUCACAUGUGCUGACACAACACACUGCUGGGGACGUUGUGAAAUGUGCAACUCUACCGAGAGCCUGGAAGCUCAGGCCUGGUUUCCUUGUCUCAUUUUGCUCUGUGCCCCUUCUCUAUAAUAAAUCACUCCCCUAAGAACUGCACAGAGUCCUGUGAGUACUGCUCACAAACCACUGAAACUGGGCAUGGCCUCAUACUCCCAACACAGUGCGAUCCCAAAAAUGUCUCCAGGCCUUGCUCAAUGUUCCCUGAGGAAUGCCAAGCUCUACCCUUUCAACCGGCACAAAUGUGAAAGACAAAGACUAGAUAAAGCCUAAAUGAACGAGGCUGAGGAGUCAUGACAAUGAAACACAACCUAUUCCUGCCAGAAGCUUCAACUAGAAAGGAAGAUACUAUUCUUGGGCAGGAGAGCAAAAUCUGAAUGCGUCUCUGGGUUGGAGAACUGCUGCAUGAUGUUAACAUGAGGAUGUCAGAAAGGAUUCAUCUUUCCAGGAAAUACACCGGAUUCCUUCUACUUUGUGCUUCCUCUAUCAUAAGCCGCUUCUCUCCAAGCCUUUGCACAACUUAUUUCCUCGGUCUACACACUGCCCUCCGCAUCUCUUUCGUCUUCAUUAACUCCAAAUCAUUUUUCAGACUUGAAUUAAGAUUCACUUCUUCUGGGAACCUGCGGAGGUCACACAAGUCCCUGCAGGUUGCCUUCCUUACACUGUAGGGCCUCCCCCACCAGGAUUUAUUUCAUCACAUGUAUAGGAAGGUUGCUUCUUUUCUCAACUGCAACCCCAACUAGAGAGCUUCCAUGCGUGCCUCUUCUGCUUAUGACUGGAUGCCAAACCACAUGCCAUUAAUAAACACAUCAAUGAUUGGAAAAUGAAUGAAUUACAAUUUUACAAGCAUUCCUUGUCACAGAAUGAUUGGGAAAUCCAUAUGUCUGAGAGAAAAUACGUUUCAAGUUAAAAGCAACAAAGUUCAAACUUCUGGCAACUAUCAGUGGGAAUCUAGUGCAAGUUUUUAUAAAUAAUAAACCCAAAUCUGUCCGUAGGGCAGCCAAACACCAAACUGAUCAAAGCUAAUCUAGUUACAUGAGACGAACAGUUUCAAACUGUCAUCGGAAUUCCCAGAGUGCAGUUAUUUUAUUCUGCAGUGAAGUCGAGCAAAAGGUGGCACUCCAUCAAAAUAAAAUGACUUACUUCAGCUGACUAGCUUGACUUGCUUAGUUUACAUAAUAUCACCAUGGUUUGGUUUCCAUGACUACCAAAGUUCUGCAACACAUGGACACCGAGCAACAGAUGAGUGACAAACCACGAUAAUCAGUGAGGGUGAGAAAAGAGAGCUGAGGCGAUUUACGAGACCAUGGAGGGGGCGGUGCAUGAAAUGCAGUCAGGCUAUACACUUCUCCAUACAGCAGUGACCUCGGCAAAGUGGGAAUGUGGCAUAGAGCAAAGGAAGGAGACUCCUUAGGAAGUUCAUGCAAUAAUCUCAGAUCAAAGCGGUUCCCAUGAAGGUGGAAGCAGGGAAGACAGUGAAAAGAAUGUGGACAACAAAGGUAUAGCCAAGAGAACCAGGUGGUGGCCUGGACACAUGUUGUGAGGGGAAACAGAUGCACCGAGGAUGGAAUCUAGUUUCUGGCUAAGCACCCUGAAGAACACACUGUCUACUUUCAAGAUGGAGCCCACCAUGCGUUGCUACAUUUGUGAAGGAAGAUCAGAUCCAAGACUGAAAAGCAGUUACACCAAUUGUUCUGUGCAAACACCUCCGAUGACUCACAGCCUCACUCAGAAAAGCCCCAACCCUUACAAUGGUCAGUCCUCCUCUCACCUCUGACCUCAUCUGACUUGGAACAUUCAGUUCACUCCAGCCUAACCGGCCCUCUUGCUCUGCUCAAGCACACCAAGAAGGCUCCUGCUUCAGCCCACACACCUGAGGCUUCCACUGCGAUUUUCUUCCCCCGAGAUAUCAACAGAGCUCCAUCUGUUGCCCCACUGCUCAAUCUAACUUUCCCAAGACUCCAAAUUCCAACAGCUACGGACUCCUUCUCCUCACCCCUCACUCUCUUCCUUCCCAGCUCUUUGUACUCAUCACCUCUAAUAUAACUAAUAUAUUUAUCUUACCCUCUUCCUACGUAGAAGCUCCAAGAGGUCAAGAAUGUCUUCUUCACACAUUGUAGUAAUUGCAGUGCCUAAUUCAUAGCAGGUGAUCAAUAAGGAUUUUCUGACUUUAGUGAACUGCCUCAAACAAUAAAAACAAUUUAUCAAAGAUUCUGGAAAAUUCCACUUGGGAUUCUGAGAUGGAGGGGGGGCAUGCUACAAGAGACCUACACAACACAGCUGAACUAAGACAAGGAUUUGACUCAGUUUAUUUCCUCCCUGCACCAGCAGCGCAUUUCCUUCCUCUCCUGGUCCCAACACUGAAAAUGUGUGGAAUCAGUUCAUAAACCCUGCACUUAAAAGUCGAGCUUCUCAGGACAGCCUACCAAGUCUGCGUGCCUUUCUGGCCUCAUCUUCAGCCAUCUCCCCUCUGCACCAUGCUCACCCAACUAGACAGUGUUCUGCCUACCAAAGAUGCCCCUAUGGACCGGGGAUUUAGCUCAGUGGUUUUGCCGCCUGCUGCGCAAGCGCAAAGACCUGAGUUCGAUUCCCGGUUCCGUUACUAACUACAGCAAUCCCUGCACCCAGAUGGCUUUCUGCACACCUCUCCCAGCUAUUUGCUCAAAUCGCUCCUAUCAUCUCCACAAC